rnacentral:rRNA from 1 species
CUACGGGCGGCUCCAGUGGGGAAUAUUGCACAAUGGGCGAAAGCCUGAUGCAGCAACGCCGCGUGGAGGAUGACACAUUUCGGUGCGUAAACUCCUUUUAUAUAAGAAGAUAAUGACGGUAUUAUAUGAAUAAGCACCGGCUAACUCCGUGCCAGCAGCCGCGGUAAUACGGGGGGUGCAAGCGUUACUCGGAAUCACUGGGCGUAAAGAGCAUGUAGGCUGGAUGACAAGUUGGAAGUGAAAUCCUAUGGCUUAACCAUAGAACUGCUUCCAAAACUGUCUUCCUAGAGUAUGGGAGAGGUAGAUGGAAUUUCUGGUGUAGGGGUAAAAUCCGUAGAGAUCAGAAGGAAUACCGAUUGCGAAGGCGAUCUACUGGAACAUUACUGACGCUCAGAUGCGAAAGCGUGGGGAGCAAACAGGAUUAGAUACCCCCGUAGUC